rnacentral:rRNA from 1 species
AUUGAACGCUGGCGGCAGGCUUAACACAUGCAAGUCGAGCGGGGGAGGUUGCUUCGGUAACUGACCUAGCGGCGGACGGGUGAGUAAUGCUUAGGAAUCUGCCUAUUAGUGGGGGACAACAUUCCGAAAGGAAUGCUAAUACCGCAUACGUCCUACGGGGGAAAGCAGGGGAUCUUCGGACCUUGCGCUAAUAGAUGAGCCUAAGUCGGAUUAGCUAGUUGGUGGGGUAAAGGCCUACCAAGGCGACGAUCUGUAGCGGGUCUGAGAGGAUGAUCCGCCACACUGGGACUGAGACACGGCCCAGACUCCUACGGGAGGCAGCAGUGGGGAAUAUUGGACAAUGGGGGGAACCCUGAUCCAGCCAUGCCGCGUGUGUGAAGAAGGCCUUUUGGUUGUAAAGCACUUUAAGCGAGGAGGAGGCUCCUUUAGUUAAUACCUAAAGAGAGUGGACGUUACUCGCAGAAUAAGCACCGGCUAACUCUGUGCCAGCCGCCGCCGUAA